AAAUUUGAAAUCUGGCGCCUUCGGUGUCCGAGUUGUAAUUUGAAGAUUGUAACCUUGGGGUUGGCUCUUGUCUAUGUUUUUUGGAACAGGACGUCACAGAGGGUGAGAAUCCCGUGCGAUGAGAUGCCCAAUUCUAUGUAAGGUGCUUUCGAAGAGUCGAGUUGUUUGGGAAUGCAGCUCUAAGUGGGUGGUAAAUUCCAUCUAAAGCUAAAUAUUGGCGAGAGACCGAUAGCGAACAAGUACAGUGAUGGAAAGAUGAAAAGAACUUUGAAAAGAGAGUGAAAAAGUACGUGAAAUUGUUGAAAGGGAAGGGUUUGAGAUCAGACUCGAUAUUUUGUGAGCCUUGCCUUCGUGGCGGGGUGACCCGCAGCUUAUCGGGCCAGCAUCGGUUUGGGCGGUAGGAUAAUGGCGUAGGAAUG
rnacentral:rRNA from 1 species